rnacentral:rRNA from 1 species
AUUGAACGCUGGCGGCAGGCCUAACACAUGCAAGUCGAGCGGAGCGGCGGACGGGUGAGUAAUACCUAGGAAUCUGCCUGGUAGUGGUGGAUAACGUCCGGCAACGGGCGCUAAUACCGCAUAGUAUCAUAUGAUCCUAGUGCGGAUUAGCUAGUUGGGGGGGUAAAGGCCUACUAAGGCGACGAUCCGUAACUGGUCUGAGAGGAUGAUCGGUCAAACUGGUACUGAUACACGGUCCAGACUCCUACGGGAGGCAGAAGUGGGGAAUAUUGGGCAAUGGGCGAAAGCCUGAUCCAGCCAUGCCGCGUGAGUGAAGAAGGUCUUCGGAGUGUAAAGCACUUUAAGUUGGGAGGCGUUACCAACAGAAUAAGCACCGGCUAACUUCGUGCCAGCAGCCGCGGUAAUAC